rnacentral:rRNA from 1 species
GACGAACGCUGGCGGCGUGCUUAACACAUGCAAGUCGAACGGAAAGGCCCUGCUUUUGUGGGGUGCUCGAGUGGCGAACGGGUGAGUAACACGUGAGUAACCUGCCCUUGACUUUGGGAUAACUUCAGGAAACUGGGGCUAAUACCGGAUAGGAGCUCCUGCUGCAUGGUGGGGGUUGGAAAGUUUCGGCGGUUGGGGAUGGACUCGCGGCUUAUCAGCUUGUUGGUGGGGUAGGGGCUUACCAAGGCUUGGACGGGUAGCCGGCCUGAGAGGGUGACCGGCCACAUUGGGACUGAGAUACGGCCCAGACUCCUACGGGAGGCAGCAGUGGGGAAUAUUGCACAAUGGGCGGAAGCCUGAUGCAGCAACGCCGCGUGCGGGAUGACGGCCUUCGGGUUGUAAACCGCUUUCGCCUGUGACGAAGCGUGAGUGACGGUAAUGGGUAAAGAAGCACCGGCUAACUACGUG